rnacentral:miRNA from 1 species
GCGAACUCCGGUCAGCUGACACAUCCCUGCCAAUCUCCGGCUGACCCUCCCUCCCAUACCCUCCCAACUCCUGGACAGCAUCCAUGUUGAAGCUGCCUUCAACAUGGAUGCUGCCCAGGAAGUAGGAGGGACCGGGAGGGAGGGUCUGCCGGAGAUUGGCAGGGAUGUGUCAGCUGACCG